GACCGAGCGAUGCCGCGUGAGCGAUGACGGUCUUCGGAUUGUAUAGCUCUGUUGUUAGGGAAGAAUACUAGAGGUACGAAAUGAUAUAUGGAUGACGGUACCUAACUACGAAGGCCCCGGCUAACUGUCUGCCAGCCGCCGCGGUAAU
rnacentral:rRNA from 1 species